CCUUGUGGGUUCCAAAAUGAAAUUGAAUGGAAGGGAAAAUCUACGGACAGUCAGUCUAUAAUGCACAAGCCUGAUAUCAUGAAGAAGAAUUGCUUUGAAGCCUGAAAUAACUUGAUUAUGGAAAUAGAGGAGAGUACCAAUACUAAAUAGAUUACCUCCAGAGUAUCGUGUAUGUGUGGAUCUGUGCAAGACACUUCGAAAUGGGUACUCAAAAUGAAAGUGUGCAGAAGAGAGCAACCAUAAAAGACAGACAUUGAUGGAAACCGUGCAACAAGAUGCAUUGCUGAUAAAUUGGAAUGAUUUGACCCAGAGAAGAGGAGACUCAAAGAGAUAUGAAACUUAUUAAUAGGAUUGAUGGUUGGGUUGCCCAGAUGGCAGGUAGGACUGCCAAGUUACUAGUAGAGUGGCUGAAGAGGAAGGAGAAGGAUCAGCAGGACAUAAACACCCUCUCAUAUUUAGCUCCCUGGAGUCUGGCCUUGAGGGUGACCCUGGGCCAUGCAAUUGGCAAACCUGCUCUGUGUAUCAAUCAGUGGAGCUUCUCAUUUGUUGAGUACAAUUCUUCUUCCUGCCUCUACUGGUGAUCUUUUCUGAAUGUCAUCUAAUACAUUGUCCUAGACUACUGGGAGAGGAGGGAACGGGGUGGAGGUCAGAACAGUGCAUUAUAGUGGGUAAGAAACUGAGGUCCAGUUGGAGACAUGCUUGGAUCUCAUCCUUGCUUCUGCCUGCCACCUGAGUCUGAAUGAUUCUGGGCACUGCCUGAGCAUCAAAAGAUGGAUAUAAUACCAGUGUAGGACCUAGUGACUUUGAAACCUUAUCUAGCUCUAGGUUUUAUUUUGUCUUUUUCCACUAUUCUACCCUGGGACUUUUUGCACUCUGAGUUCCUACAACUCCAGAUAGAUCCUUCACUUUGAAAAUUCUCUGAUCCAUCCUUCAG
rnacentral:lncRNA from 1 species